rnacentral:lncRNA from 1 species
CUUCAUUUUAACGAGCCCACAAGCGGCUCACCUUCAAGCUCGGCUCGCGCUCGGGCUUGUGAUUUUAGAGCCCGACCACCCACGAGCCUUAUUUUGACGAGUCGAUCCGACUCGACCCUUUUGACAUCUCAUAUGUACCCUCUGUCUACAGCAAUGAUAUAUUCCCCUAUUCUUUUCUGCCAUCAAACUUAUCUAAUACAACCACAUCAACAUGUAACCAUAUUAGUAUCACAAAUUCUUAAGAAUGCUGCUUCAGUUCAAAUAAGUACCUAGUGCGACCAUCAAGCUAUGUUGGAAAGACUAAGCAAAUUUUAAAUAUACAACUAAUGCUUCCAUUACAAUUACGGGAAUCAACUCUAUGGUUUAGGAUCCACAGCUGUCCAAACCAAAACAAUUUAACAAAAUUUACAAAAAAUUUCUGAAGCUGCCAAAUCCAAACGCAGAUAUAUUAAUCGAUGUUUGCAAACAAUUUCAGAGAAAAUGAUGUGAACAAAAUCAAGACUGAGUUGCUGGGAUUUAGUUUGGGAGUGGCAGGAGAACCUUGCCCAGGAAGUAUUUGAACUUGAAGACAAAUUAAUUUAGGAAUCAUGAGGAAUCGCAACAGCAAUGAGUGGAUCUUUUCUUCCAAUUAUGAGACCUCAUUGUUCGGCGAUAUCCAUGUUCUCCCAUUUUGCUCCAUCGGGUUGUUCCCAAUCAAAUUUGUGCAAAACAUUUGCUAACACAAAUUCAACUAACCCCGAUGCAAAACUAAUCCCUCGGCAGAUUCUCCAAUCACUCUCAAAAACUCACACAUACAUCGAACAAAAAACUCACAUAUACAUUGAGAGGUUGGGGGAAAAAAUUUAAAACCAAAAAACCACAACUCACAUAGUUGCUGCCCUUUUUUCUCUCACCGACCACGAUUGACUUCUCUUACAGUUCAGGCGGCGAUCGGAGGUGGUGAUUAUUUGGGUUGUGCCUAGAAUUAUAGUGGUCUCUACUUUAUUUUUUGUAAAUGGGAGAGUGAUUCAAUUUGGAGAAGAAAUAGGGCUUUAGUCGGGUCACCAACUGCAAAACAGGCUAUUUUG